rnacentral:rRNA from 1 species
CACGUAGGGCGCAAGCGUUGUCCGGAAUUAUUGGGCGUAAAGGGCGCGUAGGCGGGUGGUCAAGUCAGGGGUGAAAUCUUUCGGCUCAACCGGAAAACAGCCUCUGAUACUGACCGUCUUGAGCGAGGUAGGGGCAUGUGGAACUUCCGGUGGAGCGGUGAAAUGCGUUGAUAUCGGAAGGAACGCCGGUGGCGAAAGCGACGUGCUGGACCUCUUCUGACGCUGAGGCGCGAAAGCUAGGGGAGCGAACGGG